CCUACGGGAGGCUGCAGUGAGGAAUAUUGGUCAAUGGACGAGAGUCUGAACCAGCCAAGUAGCGUGAAGGAUGACUGCCCUAUGGGUUGUAAACUUCUUUUAUAUGGGAAUAAAAUGUUCCACGUGUGGGAUUUUGUAUGUACCAUAUGAAUAAGGAUCGGCUAACUCCGUGCCAGCAGCCGCGGUAAUACGGAGGAUCCGAGCGUUAUCCGGAUUUAUUGGGUUUAAAGGGAGCGUAGGUGGAUUGGUAAGUCAGUUGUGAAAGUUUGCGGCUCAACCGUAAAAUUGCAGUUGAAACUGGCAGUCUUGAGUACAGUAGAGGUGGGCGGAAUUCGUGGUGUAGCGGUGAAAUGCUUAGAUAUCACGAAGAACUCCGAUUGCGAAGGCAGUUCACUGGACUGCAACUGACACUGAGGCUCGAAAGUGUGGGUAUCAAACAGGAUUAGAUACCCGAGUAGUC
rnacentral:rRNA from 1 species